GCUUGGUGAAGAGGCAUAUGUCUUGUCAUCUCCAUGCUCCUUUCUUUUUCGCAGGUGCUGGAUCCUGGGUGCAUUCCGCUAUGGUUCAUCUGAGUCAUCUGAACAGUCACGCAGAUGUCAAAGCAACCACAAGCACCUUCACUGGGAGAGGAUUUGGGGAUGAAUUAACACAAGAUAGUUUUUGUCGUCUCUCAUCCCUCCUCUUUGUGGUGGAUAAUUAGCUGCAGUAGGGCCAGCUAGUGCCAGAUGUGAAGGUGUUUCUUUUAACUACAGAUGUAACGUGGUGCCACCUGAUGACACUAUGCAGCAGGACCGUCCGUCUUUUAGAGGAGAUGUUAUUGGAAGGUCUUACAGCUGUUGAAGUUCUAGUGUCGGUAGUUGUUACCAAGAUGGGAAGAGAAAGUAUGACUGGGAAGGGCCUCCUCAUUGCUCAGUCUUUCUCCCAUCACAGGAAACCGUUGUCUUCUAAUCCCUGCUGAAGGGAUAAGAAGUUUAUUAAAAAAUGGAUAGAUUUCUUGCCUCCCUCAGAACUGUAGACAAGAUUUUAAGACCCGGAUUCCAAAGUUCCGACAUCUGCCCUGCAGUCCCCUGGGUAUUUUUGGUCACUCCUGCAAUUGGAAUAAAGAUCACUUAUCACAUGCUGUAAGACUUGGCUAUUGGCUCAAGGCUGCACAUGAUCUUUGCCUCCAAAUUAGGCUUCACCGUAUUUCUUCCAUCAGCCACUGAAGCAUGGGGAGAUAAGAUGAAGAAAGUAGCAGAGGGUUGCCCGUCUCUGAGAACCAAAACGGGACAGGAAAAGUGGAAGAAGGUGCCUCCAGCAAGCAGGGAAUGGAGCAUCUGACCCAACUAAGGUGUGCUGGGACCUGAGGCUCUCCAUAUGCAUUUCUACAGCUGGGUGGCAGCAUUUCUGCAGUGAUUCAUGUGCAUGGCCUUUGGGACAUAUUUGGGAAUGCAAUGAACAACAGACCUGGAGAACCAGCAUCACAGAAACUGAGGUUAACAAGAUCUUGGAGCUUCACGACCAAGGGCUUGGUACCUCAUGGUCGCAUGGUCCAACUGAAAAGCACUGGGACAUCUUGCUCUCUGGACACCACCACUGCACAAAGCCCCUGCCAGGUUCCCAGGACCAUCCGUACAGCUGCGGGGCUGGCUCUUCCUCCACCGUAAUUCUGGGUUGCACCUGACCUGUAGGAGAAACCUUUCAGCUAAAAACUUGGAUGUGGCCCUAGGCGUCAAGAAGCAAGCAUGCUGCUCCAGAACUACGAUACGGAUAAAGCAUGGACACGAGGGAGAGCCACGUGGCUGUCCAGUAGAGCUUCCAACAGUCGUGUCAAGUGAUAAUCACUGCAGCCUGACACAAUGAGGUAGCUGUGGCUUGGAACAGGGGAGGGAACAUGGAGUCUUGCCUUUUAGGGUUUGUUGCUUCCCUUUUGCUGUACAAGGUGUCGCAGAGAGCUCUGAAGCUGGAUUCGCUGCUGCUGAACUCCUUAUGAAGUCAAUGGAGUUGCUAUUCCACCUCUCCGCUUGCUUAAAGUGUGUGUUGUAGAUCUCCCUUCACCCAUUCAUUCAUUUCUUCCCUUUUAAUGAGUAGGUUAAAUUUCUUGUGUGGUACAGCAAGCAUUUGAGAUGUGAAGGUUCCUUUUCCUCAUCUCCCUCUUAUUGAAGGUGGCUUUGCUCCCAGUAACUCCUGUCAUGACAUAAUUGGACCUUAUUCUCACAUAAAUACCAGAGUUAGAGUUACUGUUGUUGGGUUUUUCCAUUAUUUUGGGUGGCUGAUAUUUUUCACAUUCCUAUUCUCUUCUUAACGCAAAGCUGACUACAUUUACUAGGUUUGUUUGCCUUCCUCAGAAGGACUUGAAUAUUAGUCCUCAACUUGUCUGUGUAUCUCUACUUUUCUUACUCUCCCCUUUCAUUGAUUUAUGACACAUGUGGAGGCCAAGAGGCAGUACAGGACAUGAAUCAUAUAAAAAGAAUGCAGACAUUUCAUUUGCGUAAGUUAAUUGUUUUAUUUUUACCUGUCCCUUGUGUUUCUGCAAUCCUAUGGGUGGUGUCUUAGAAAAAUACAGAUAGUAGACUGGACCACUGCCAAGUGCUGCAAGUAUCACAUGCUUUGCAAAAGGUUGCAACAUCUUAGUGGGAAUGAUUAUCUUCACAGUAGAGAUGGUAA
ensembl:lncRNA